GAUGAACGCUGGCGGCGUGCCUAAUACAUGCAAGUCGAGCGAACAGACGAGGAGCUUGCUCCUUUGACGUUAGCGGCGGACGGGUGAGUAACACGUAGGUAACCUACCUAUAAGACUGGGAUAACUUCGGGAAACCGGAGCUAAUACCGGAUAAUAUUUCGAACCGCAUGGUUCGAUAGUGAAAGAUGGCUUUGCUAUCACUUAUAGAUGGACCUGCGCCGUAUUAGCUAGUUGGUAAGGUAACGGCUUACCAAGGCAACGAUACGUAGCCGACCUGAGAGGGUGAUCGGCCACACCGGAACUGAGACACGGUCCAGACUCCUACGGGAGGCAGCAGUAGGGAAUCUUCCGCAAUGGGCGAAAGCCUGACGGAGCAACGCCGCGUGAGUGAUGAAGGUCUUCGGAUCGUAAAACUCUGUUAUUAGGGAAGAACAAACGUGUAAGUAACUGUGCACGUCUUGACGGUACCUAAUCAGAAAGCCACGGCUAACUACGUG
rnacentral:rRNA from 1 species